ACUGAUUUUGUUCGAUAAAGAAGUAAGCAGGGGUAAAGGUGAGUAACGUAAAAAAAUAAAACAGCUUUCACUUCAUGCUGUUUUAUUAAUUGGUUAAUUAGUUUAGAAAUGCCAAUUAAAACUCUUUACUCCAGCUGGAACGGAGCGGAAAGCGUUGAGACAAACCACCACGUAACGGUGAGCGGUAACGCGGGGUGAAACUGGUGUAAUUGCUCCCUAGAUCAAAGCGGUGCGUGUUGAAAAAGGAACUGCGGUUACGCCUUAAGCUCGACAAUUCCAAUGGUCUUCUAAGUGGGUAAAAGCUACUUGGACUGCGGUAAGCGCCAAAGCUGUUAAGGCUGUCGAAGUUCAAACUCGCUGGGUUGCGGUAGUUUACAGCCAUCGGUGUAACACCAGUAAACCGACUGGCAAUUGGUGUUGACUCUACUGUUGGCCGUGUAAAACGUGCUCAACUGUUGCGGAUUGCUGGAAGGUUAAACAGCGGUUCGUUGUACUUGGUAGCCACAUAUUCACUCGGUGGAGCUAACUGGUAGCGCUCGUGCGGUAAAGGCGUACGGGUAGAAGCAUCGUGGAGGUGACCCAAACUCGCUAGCUUUUCCAACAAUAAGGAACGGUUGGUGGUGUGAAUGGUAAUUGCACCACUUUCAUUAUUAACACAAGCUGACUGACACGGUUGUGGUUCCACUACCGAUGCAGGGGAUGGUUUUCAUUCCGGUUCGGGUUGUGUUGGACGGAUAAUUGGUUGGACUACCACUUCUGGUUGAACUACAACUGGUGGAACCGCAGGAGUUGUUUGGACUACCUUAGGUGUCACUUUAGGUGUAGCUACUUGAGGAGUAACUACUACCUGUGGUGCUGGCGUUGGUGUUACUACCUUCGGUUCUGCCUUAACAACUGGUUGAACUACAGCAGUUGGUUGGACAACUACUGGAGCAGGGGUUGGUUGUGGUGCUACUUUAGGUACAGCUGGAACAGGGGUUGGUUGGGCCACUUGGAGUGCAACUUUUGCUGUUACUACCUUCGGUAUUUCAACUUUAGGUGAGUCAACCUCAACAGUUACAGGUGUUGGUUGUGGUUGUUCCACUACCUUAGGCUCUACUUUAGGGGCAGGAGUAGCUUCUACCACUGGUGUUGGGGUAGGUUCCACUACCUUA
rnacentral:sRNA from 1 species